GACGAACGCUGGCGGCGUGCUUAACACAUGCAAGUCGAGCGGUAAGGCCCUUUCGGGGGUACGACGAGCGGCGAACGGGUGAGUAACACGUGGGUGACCUGCCCUCCAGCUCUGGGAUAAGCCUGGGAAACCGGGUCUAAUACUGGAUAUGACUCCAUGACGCAUGUUGUGGGGUGGAAAGCCUUGUGCGGCUGAGGAUGGGCCCGCGGCCUAUCAGCUUGUUGGUGGGGUGAGGCCUACCAAGGCGACGACGGGUAGCCGGCCUGAGAGGGGCGACCGGCCACACUGGGACUGAGACACGGCCCAGACUCCUACGGGAGGCAGCAGUGGGGAAUCUUGCGCAAUGGGCGAAAGCCUGACGCAGCGACGCCGCGUGAGGGAUGAC
rnacentral:rRNA from 1 species